UGCGUAGGUGGCCGGGUAAGUCCGAUGUGAAAUCUCCGAGCCUAACUCGGAAACUGCAUCGGAUACUAUUCGGCUGGAGGGUUGGAGGGGGGACUGGAAUACUUGGUGUAGCAGUGAAAUGCGUAGAUAUCAAGUGGAACACCAGUGGCGAAGGCGAGUCCCUGGACAACUCCUGACACUGAGGCACGAAAGUGGAGGGCAACA
rnacentral:rRNA from 1 species